UACUUUUGUUACGUGCCAUUACAUGCGAUAAUAUGCGGCGUAGCGCGUAGCUUUUCUCUCGAUACCUUUGCCGAUGCCGCCGUGUUGUAUCUCCUGAAAGAAGGGCUAACUGAGUAAAGGAAUCGUUUUCCUGAUCGCCGACAUGGAGCUCACCGACGAUAAUUUGGUAACGUUGAGCGAAUAUCUGAAACACACACUCUCAGCCCAGACGUGAAUGUCAAACGUCCAGCCGAGAAAGUUUCUGGAGUCGGUGGAAGUCAAUCAGAAUUAUCCUUUACUACUACUUCAUUUGGUGGACAAGUCUGAGAUUAACAUCACGAUUAGGAUUGUCGGCGCAAUUUAAAAGAAUUAUGUUAAGCACAACUGGAAAGUGGUUGGGUUUUGGGAGGAGGAUUCAGUGGAUCGUAUACAUGCCCAAGACAGAGAUGCCGUCAAGAAACUAAUCGUUAAUCUGAUGUUACAUUCACCAGAUUCGAUACAAAAGCAGUUGUCUGAUGCAGUAUCUAUCAUUGGAAAAUAUGACUUUCCGAACAAGUGGCCAGAAUUGAUUGAUCAUAUGAGUCCCUUGUGAAUUUUGUACUCAGAUAUAAUGUAUUUAACGAUAGUUAAACGCUACAAUAAAGAUAUGUUUUGAGAUCUCAAUGGUA